UACGGAGGGUGCGAGCGUUAAUCGGAAUUACUGGGCGUAAAGCGCACGCAGGCGGUUUGUUAAGCUAGAUGUGAAAGCCCCGGGCUCAACCUGGGAUGGUCAUUUAGAACUGGCAGACUAGAGUCUUGGAGAGGGGAGUGGAAUUCCAGGUGUAGCGGUGAAAUGCGUUGAUAUCUGGAGGAACAUCAGUGGCGAAGGCGACUCCCUGGCCAAAGACUGACGCUCAUGUGCGAAAGUGUGGGUAGCGAACAGG
rnacentral:rRNA from 1 species